rfam:Pseudomonas sp. StFLB209 DNA, complete genome.
UUGGUUAGAAAUCUCCUCAGGCUGUCACCGCAACGGUGUCGGCACCACGCCCGUGACGCCGGCAGCGGGCAGACAAGGCAGAAGAUUUCUGCCUAACCUCGACAUGAGGUUCAUGGACAUUACAUAGUCAAC